rfam:Salmo salar isolate Sally breed double haploid chromosome ssa06, whole genome shotgun sequence.
UCCCGUGUGGCUCAGUUGGUAGAGCAUGGUGUUUCCAACGUCAGUGUUGCGGAUUCGAUUCCCACGGGGG